UACGAAGGGUCCAAGCGUUAUCCGGAUUUAUUGGGUUUAAAGGGUGCGUAGGCGGCUUAUUAAGUCAGUGGUGAAAGACUUCAGCUUAACUGAAGAACUGCCAUUGAUACUGAUGAGCUUGAAUAUACUUGAGGUUGGCGGAAUGUGUCAUGUAGCGGUGAAAUGCUUAGAUAUGACACAGAACACCGAUUGCGAAGGCAGCUAGCUAAAGUAUGAUUGACGCUGAGGCACGAAAGCGUGGGGAGCAAACAGG
rnacentral:rRNA from 1 species